GUCUACGGCCAUACCACGUUGAAAGCACCAGUUCUCGUCCGAUCACUGAAGUUAAGCAACGUCGGGCUCGGUUAGUACUUGGAUGGGUGACCGCCUGGGAGCACCGAGUGCUGUAGACU
rnacentral:rRNA from 1 species